rnacentral:rRNA from 1 species
AUUGAACGCUGGCGGCAGGCUUAACACAUGCAAGUCGAGCGGAGAUGAGGUGCUUGCACCUUAUCUUAGCGGCGGACGGGUGAGUAAUGCUUAGGAAUCUGCCUAUUAGUGGGGGACAACAUUCCGAAAGGAAUGCUAAUACCGCAUACGUCCUACGGGAGAAAGCAGGGGAUCUUCGGACCUUGCGCUAAUAGAUGAGCCUAAGUCGGAUUAGCUAGUUGGUGGGGUAAAGGCCUACCAAGGCGACGAUCUGUAGCGGGUCUGAGAGGAUGAUCCGCCACACUGGGACGGAGACACGGCCCAGACUCCUACGGGAGGUAGCAGUGGGGAAUAUUGGACAAUGGGGGGAACCCUGAUCCAGCCAUGCCGCGUGUGUGAAGAAGGCCUUAUGGUUGUAAAGCACUUUAAGCGAGGAGGAGGCUACUGAGACUAAUACUCUUGGAUAGUGGACGUUACUCGCAGAAUAAGCACCGGCUAACUCUGUGCCAGCCGCCGCCGUAAUAC